CCCUUAGAUGUUCUGGGCCGCACGCGCGCUACACUGAUGCAUUCAACGAGUCUAAAACCUGGUCUGAUAGGGCUGGGUAAUCUUUUGAAAGUGCAUCGUGAUUGGGAUAGAUGAUUGCAAUUCUUCAUCUUCAACGAGGAAUGCCUAGUAAACGCAAGUCAUCAGCUUGCAUUGAUUACGUCCCUGCCCUUUGUACACACCGCCCGUCGCUCCUACCGAUUGAAUGAUCCGAUGAAUAUCAUGGAUUGAGAGUACGAAUGGGUUCGCUCAUUUCUGCUGCUCGAGAAGUGAAGUAAAUCUUAUCAUUUAGAGGAAGGAGCAGUCGUAACA
rnacentral:rRNA from 1 species